rnacentral:misc_RNA from 1 species
AACCCAUUUCUGGCAUUAGAUUUGCACUUCACCAUGGAUUUAGCGAAUUUGCUGAAUUUGAAUGUUUGUGGCUGUGAUUGCGUUGAUAGAAUAUCGUUGUUUUCUGGAUCUGAAUAGAAUUCGAGAUUCUUCUUCGGAGUUAAGGUUGUAGAUAGAUCGAAAUCUGUUAAAGUAACAUGACCAGAUUGUUGAAUAAGUACGUUUUCAGGUUUCAAAUCUCGAUAAGCAAUGCCUAAAGUGUGUAG